UACAGAGGUCUCAACCGUUGUUCGGAAUCAUUGGGCGUAAAGCGCGUGUAGGCGGUCUUCUAAGUCUGAUGUGAAAGCCCGGAGCUUAACUUCGGAACUGCAUUGGAUACCGGAAGACUAGAGGAUGGAAGAGGAUGGUGGAAUUCCUGGUGUAGGGGUGAAAUCCGUAGAGAUCAGGAGGAACAUCAGUGGCGAAGGCGGCCAUCUGGUCCAUAUCUGACGCUGAGACGCGAAAGCGUGGGGAGCAAACAGG
rnacentral:rRNA from 1 species